AGAGUUUGAUCAUGGCUCAGGAUGAACGCUAGCUACAGGCUUAACACAUGCAAGUCGAGGGGAAACGAUAUUGAAAGCUUGCUUCUUAGGCGUCGACCGGCGAAUGGGUGAGUAACGCGUAUCCAACCUGCCCCUGAGUAAGGGAUAGCCCAUCGAAAGAUGGAUUAAUACCUUAUGGUUUCCUUUGAAGGCAUCCGAUUAGGAUAAAGAUUUAUCGCUGAGGGAUGGGGAUGCGUCUGAUUAGCUUGUUGGCGGGGUAACGGCCCACCAAGGCGACGAUCAGUAGGGGUUCUGAGAGGAAGGUCCCCCACAUUGGUACUGAGACACGGACCAAACUCCUACGGGAGGCAGCAGUGAGGAAUAUUGGUCAAUGGGCGCAAGCCUGAACCAGCCAAGUAAGCGUGCAGGACGACUGCCCUAUGGGUUGUAAACUGCUUUUAUACGGGGAUAAAGUCAGGGUCGUGACCCUGUUUGCAGGUACCGUAUGAAUAAGGACCGGCUAAUUCCGUGCCAGCCGCGGC
rnacentral:rRNA from 1 species